ACUCUUCCCGAGCACGCGCCGUCGUCUUCCCGAUUCAAGCAUGUCAGUUUUGGGACGUGUUUUGCAUUGGUUGAGUCCGAGUCAGACUUGUGAUUUGGGCUGGGCUAGUCGAACCUGAGUCAAGGGCCUGCACGCCUUUAUCAAGGGUGUCAACCCUCUGUAAUAGGGUAGAUUGAAUUUUUAUCGUGGUUUUCGUCGAGGGUUUCCUCCGUCUCCGAGGCUUCCGAGCAAGAGCGGCGGCGGCCUUCUCGUACCAUCCUUUGGGAUUGUGAUUAAGCGCGUGCUCAGGAAUUAAUUCCUAGGUGCGUGGAAUUCUUGAAGUUCUCCGUAUUCUGAUCGCGGUUCGUAGUAGCUGCGGGUGGAAGAAUUUAUCUAGGGUUUGGUUUGCAUCUUGUGUAAGCCGUUCCCUCUAUCGUACUCUUCAUAUUUGUUUGGUUGAAGAAAUUAUCUCGGACUGGUUCUGCUGUUUUGUUGCUGCUACUACUGUUGGCUGAUCCAUCAGCGAUUAAUUAGUAAGCUCGUACUGUGCAUUGCUGGUUUAUUAGAUUAAUACAAAUAUACAUCAGUUUCUGUUGCUGAGAGAUGUACUGAACUGCUGCUCUUGUUGCGGUUGUGAGACCUGGUAUUGUUGGCGUGAGAACAGAAGUGCCCUGCCUUGCUGAUUCUUGGGACUUUGUCGUGAGGUGUAGAUUGCAAGGGGACUUUGCCUCGGCCCAUCCAUUCUUCGGACUUCGGAGUCGUCUUUGUGGUAGACCUGUAGGAUUGUGGGAGGCGGCGCACGGUGAUGGGGCGCCCAAUGGAUAGGACCAGGGCCUAUUUUGAAUCUCGCAUCAGAAGAAUGGAGGAGGAGGAGGACCGUGCAAAGGUGUUGCCUCCGUUGAAGAUUGUUAACUACCACGAUCUCCUCGAGACGGCAGAUCUCCUCGAGAAACUAUGGGGGUGGGACAUCAGAUUUUAAAUCUAGUUUUGCCAAGAAUGAGGGGAUAACUCCUUUGCCACAAUGCCAAAUGGUAUCCUCUGACUGCAGCAAAGGUGGCCAAAAACAAAAGAGAAUUGCAGAUGACUCAGACCCACAUUCUGGAUGGGAGAACCUGAUGAAAUUGGCUGAAAAUGGGUCAACUGAUGCUGAAUGUUCCUUCUUCCUAAGAUCUAUGGAAUUAGAGGAUUCUGAUGAAGAAGAGAUGGAGGCUGUGAUUGAGGAAACUUUCUUGGCUGAUGCUGGUGUGUCAAACAAUGAUCAGAUGGUGACCUCAGAUCCUGAGAUAGAGGUUGAGGUGCCCAAGGAAGCUCCAGUGCCUAAGAAAAAGAAGACCAACUGGGGACCUAUCCAGAGGAUAGACAGACCUAGAAGAUUUCCUGAUGAUGGGAGGACAAUCUCUCAGAGAGCAGCGGAAUUCACCAAGUACAAAAACCUUGAGACUGAUAUUAAACCUGGUUUGUUGGAGGAGGAGGAGAAUGACAUGGCCAAGAUUUUCUGCUGUAAGAAAGGGAAAAGGAUGGCGGGGGAUAGGGCAAGUCCUUUGCUCGAUUGCCAGGAUGCUGAGGCGUUGGUCCGUGCUAUUGAAGCCGGACAAGCAAGCGAAGUUGGAAUGCACUGCACAACACCUUCUGGAGGAGGGAUCCAAACCACCAACGUUAGGGGGCAGCUCUUCACCACUGCAAGAAUCAAGCUCGAAUCUGUCACGUGGGGAUCUCUCCCGGUUGGUCUUCACAGCUGCUCCUCCGACCAUUCCGAUGUCGUCUGAAGUGUGGGGGUUUUGAUCCCAUUCUUCAACCUAUUGCUGUGUAUGAUACUGUUGCUGAAACUGUAAUUGGCGGGCGUGCCUAAAAUACGCUGUUACCGAGAAGGCUUAAAACUUUGUACGCUUUAUGCUUGUAAUAAAGCGGGGGAAACCUUUUGUCUAAAAAAAACUAUGGGGGUGGGAUAGGCUGGUGCCGAAGGGGGGGUCAGGUGUCGGUGGUCUGCCUACAGCCACUACCUCGAAGCGUAUUACCGUAAGACUAAUUCAGUUGCUAAGAGUUGCUGCAUAGCUGCUAUCGCUGAGACUAUGAGUAACCUCCUGCCCCUUUGGCCUUUACUAAGCCACCCAUCAUACGCUGUGUUGCAAGAAGGAGAAAGAACUUGUGUCUGAGUGGAAGAUCCAGAAGAAAUCUAAAUUGGAGAUGAUCUUACCAAUGAGCAAAUCAAUCAUUCUGAGUUGCCUUAUCCACCAGCGUGCAAAUUCAGUCAUCACAGCAGAUUGCACU